rnacentral:rRNA from 1 species
UCUUGGUCAAUUUAGAGGAAGUAAAAGUCGUAACAAGGUUUCCGUAGGUGAACCUGCGGAAGGAUCAUUACCGUACAGCAGAGAUGCCCUAAGGGCUGUCGCUGACCUUUGCAGGUCGUGCACGCCCAAAGUGCUUCUCUCUCCCAUCCAUCUCACCCCUUUGUGCAUCACCGCGUGGGCCGCCCCCUAUCGGGAUCGGUUCACGUUUUUACACAGACACCUUUCUUUUAAUGCAUGUGUAGAAUGUCUUCCUUUUUUUGCGAUCACACGCAAUCAAUACAACUUUCAACAACGGAUCUCUUGGCUCUCGCAUCGAUGAAGAACGCAGCGAAAUGCGAUACGUAAUGUGAAUUGCAGAAUUCAGUGAAUCAUCGAAUCUUUGAACGCACCUUGCGCCCCUUGGUAUUCCGAGGGGCACACCCGUUUGAGUGUCGUGAACACCCUCAACCUUCUUGGUUUCUUGACCGGGAAGGCUUGGACUUUGGAGGUUGUCUUUGCUGGCCUCUCUUUGAAGCCAGCUCCUCCUAAAUGAAUUAGUGGGGUCCGCUUUGCCGAUCCUUGACGUGAUAAGUAUCCUUCUACGUCUUGGGUUUUGCACUGUUGCCCUGGAACCCGCUUCCAACGGUCUUCGUUUCGAAGACGAUGUUCGAGUUGCAUUGUGACUCGACCUCAAUGACCUUGACCUCAAAUCGGGUGAGACUACCCGCUGAACUUAAGCAUAUCAAUAAGGCGGAGGAA